AACUUUUGGCAACGGAUCUCUUGGCUCUCGCAUCGAUGAAGAACGCAGCGAAAUGCUAUAAGUAAUUUGAAUUGCAGAAUUCAGUGAAUCAUCGAAUCUUUGAACGCACCUUGCGCUCCUUGGUAUUCCGAGGAGCAUGCCUGUUUGAGUGUCAUGAAAUUCUCAACUGCUCCGAGCUUUGUUGUUCGGGGUGAAGUUGGACUUUGGAGGUCCUUGCUGGCGUUGGCUUCGGCUUACUUGUCGGCUCCUCUUGAAUGCAUGAGCUUUCCAGUGGAUCUUGGCAAAGUAUCGUCGAUGUGAUAAUUAUCUACGUCGGUCGAGAAAGCCUCGAGCAGGGCUCUUAGGAGCUCCUACGGGAAAUCUUUCAUAUACAUCGGGCUUCAAACCACCGUGUCUGACAAAUUCGACCUCAAAUCAGGUAGGACUACCCGCUGAACUUAAGCAUAUCAAUAAGCGGAGGC
rnacentral:misc_RNA from 1 species